ensembl:lncRNA
ACUGAGGACUGGGCAGCUGGAGGCAAGUACAAGUCAUCUGACGUCAGAACUUCUCUUUUCAAGUCCAUCCCUCAGAGACUUUGCCCGGGUCCACUGAGCCUAUUUUGAAAGUGGAGGAAAAAGGCCUUUUAUCACCUUAUUUUACAACUGGGCAAUUUGCGGCUUUGAGCGUAACUGAGGUCAGGUCUACCAAUGGUAAGUGCUGAGACGAGCCCAGAUGCACCUGCCUCCAAGCCCCUGAAGAUGGCACGUGGGCUGGAAGACUCAGUUACCCUAAGGCACAUGGAAUGAUUGCAUUUCCUUUAUACCCAUGAAGUGGAAAUAUGUCUGUGUUACUUGUUUUGGACAAUGAAACAUAAGCAAAGUGGUUUGAGAGCUGGUUCCUGACUCUUUAAUACACUUUCUUCUGCUACAGUAAUUAGGGAAACCAGUGUUGAUAAGGUGGUGCCACAAGAUUGAAGAAGCUUGAAUUAGUAGUAGUACUUGUAGGAGAGCUGGGCUGGAAGUUUGCCCAUAUCCACAGUGAGAUGUCUAUGAGUGAACAAAAAGUAAGCUUGUAUGGUGAGAUUUGGAGCUUGUUUGUUACUCAGCAAAACAUAUCCUAUCCUGAUUACCAUGGUAGAAAGAGGACUGACUUGUGGGAAGCCUCUGUAAAAUAAAAGCAAAGGAUAAAG